AAUGGAGUUUCGCUCUUGUUACCUAGGCUGGAGUAGAAUGGCGCGAUCUCAGCUCACUGCAACCUCUGCCUCCCAGCUUCAAGCAAUUCUCCUAUGUCAGCCUACCAAGUAGCUGGGAUUACAGGUUAAAAGCUCAGACUGUGGAACCUACUGCUUAGAUCCAAAUCCCAGUUCUGCCACUUACUAGCCUGGAAGAAAGAGUGAACAACUGCACAAAUCCAGGAUCUGCCAGCGAGGAAGAGAGGGGCAACGGCAUUUAAACAGGCAGCCAGCACAGUCCGUUUGCACAAUACCGGAUGUCAAAGGCAGACUGUGUCUUCAGGCUUAGGAAAAAGCAGCUACCUCCCAGCAGCAUGAAGAUGCAAGAAGCUGCAGUUGCCUGCAGCAAACACGACAGGAUUGUAACAGGUCCCCAUGGUCCUUGUUGCAUGGAAAGGUGGAUUCUCUGAGAAACUUCUCAGCUUGACCACGUCUGUCCCAACCUAAGUUUGGCUGCAAGGAGUCACACAGAAAACCUUGCUCUCCUACUUCCUCUGGCCAAGAACCUCCUGAAGUUUGCCCCAUCCCCAAGCAAGGAGUUUUCAUUCCAAGCUUGAACAAACCUGGCCCACUGGACUUAAAGUCAAUGAGUGUGAAGGAGGAACACACCUUUUCCAUUUUCAAGCAGCCUAGUGGGAUUUUGUUUUUUUCCAACAGCCCUCCAAACUGGCAGGGCUUUCAAAGCUACAAAUUUCCAUGACCCCAGCCUUCACCGAAGAAAAAUUUCCUGGUUAGGUUGGCAUGUGUGGAGGUUUUACACGUGCAAGUGAGAAACGCUGAACAAAUAGUUAAACCAGAGCUAUGAAUCAAAUUAGUCUAAACAAGAUUCUCCCCUAUCCCCAUGCUGUACUAGUUACCCUCCUUAAUUCCUAUCCCAAACAUAUAUUCAAAAAUAACUACUAUUUGUCAGACACAAAUAGUAGUAAGUACCAGGAACUGAGCCACAUGUUUUAUUUACUUACAUUACUCAUUUUAUCUUCACAAUUAUGCAAGGUAGAAAUUAUGUAUCGUUUCUUCUCUAAGGCACAGACAGGUGAAGCAAUUUCCCUAAAGUCACUCAGUUCAAAGCUCGACCCAACAAACACAUAGGUGAAUCUGAAAAUCAUCAUGCAGAGCAAAAGAAGCCAGACAACAAAAGAGUACUUACUACAUGGUUUCAUGUAUAUAGUAUGAUAGAAAGUGCAAAUUAAAUAGUCGUCAUAGAAAGCAGACCAGUGGUUGCCUGGGGAUGAGGCACGGGGAAGAGGGAUCACAA